GAGCGCCGCGGCUAGAGUGGAGCCCGGAGCGGCCAUCGAGAGCGGCGCGUGCGGGUGGCGGAGCGUGCGCAGAUGCGCGGCUGCGGGCCCGGGCGCCAUCUUCCGUGCUGGCCGGGACGACCGUGUCUUCCGGGAUCCCCAAAGCAGCUGCGGUCGGCUCCAUGUUCAGUCCGGGCAAAUGGGACGGGGCAACGCGGGGCCUGGGCACCGACGCAAAUUCUGAAAGCCGCGUCGGAAGCGCGCAGGUGCACGUGAAGUUUGCAAUUCCGACAGAUUCCCAGGAGAAAGUAGGAGUCGUGUUCAAACUUAAGACACCCAACACUGAAGUGACACCCAAACCUCAGUAGAUCUAGCAGCCACCCUGUCAGUGUGGACCCUGAGGAACAAACUCCGUCUUUCACUGGAAGGUUUGGUCCAGCAGAAUUCACGCAGUUCAGAAUGUCAGUCUGCCACGUGGAUUUUCUUCUCUCAUCCAAAGAGACCUCCCAGCACUACUGUUAAACCGACUCUGCCUCAGAUAGGGGUGGUGCAGAGGGUGCAUCAUCAUGCAUGGAAAGCGAAUGCCACUUGGAAACUGAAUUUUAGUAUUGUCAAGUUUUGAAAUACUUGACCUUCUCAAACUGUGGAAAAUCACGUACCUCUGUCAGCCUCAAAAAUAAAGAACAAAAAGACCCUAAGGAGGCAACCGAAUGUCACAUAGGUCCCUGUAAUGUCCUAGGGACAUUAGCGAAAGGUGAACAAAGCCCACAGCUUAGAUACUUGUGUUGUGCCAGUGUUAACUUGCUGUCUUGCGCAGUUCGUCCUCGGGGUCUGCCAGAUGGUAGCACUAAGGGGAGCCAAGGGAAGGAGAUACAGGAGCUCCCUAAUUUUCUAAGUCUAGACUUGUUUCAAAACUAAAAGUUUAUAUAAAAAAAGCAAUGAUACACAUAAUAUCCAAUGUGUUUUUUUAGUAGAUGUUAAAUGAGGUGGCAUAUGAAGUGUUUCAUGAACUAAAGCUGUACGUGUUCAUACACACCGACAGCAUAUGUCAUCAUCAACAUACUUGUCAGUUCUCGUGCCAGCCACUCCUUGAUACUUUGGACAGACCGUAUGGAUUUCUGACAGUCUGGGCCAAAUCCAGACUCAUGAAUGAGCACAACCGGCAACGUUGGUAGUCAAUAAUGGCUUAUUCGUCCAUAAAGAGUAAUAACUAAUGCCCGACAUGGUAUUAGUGAUAAGGUGCGCUUUGUGUCUUGAACAAAGGAGCAGCUCUAAGGUCUCGUUCCUUACUCGGUCAGUUAAAGUCUAUGUACAGGACUGAGAGAGUAAUGGCUAGUUUUGAUGACCCUUUAUGCACUUGGCGAAUGAGUUUGUGAGCUGUCACACAAAAUGUUCUCUACUCGUAUCUUCUCUUUAAUGAGAGGUUUACAUAAAAUUGAGGCCACUGGUCUUGUGACAAAUUAAGACAAGUAGAAGUACUUCUGUAAGUGGAGAAAGAGCCUUAAUCCUAUUUGUUGGGCUCCUUUUGAGCGUUUGAAGAAGUCAGCAGACUGCCAGCUCUGUGGCCAACAGAACAGCAGCAGAAGUCAGCACAAUUCAGAAUUUUUACCUCGCAGGGGAGAAAAGUCCAACUCAGGAUUUCCCAUAGAUCCCGCUUCUGUUCUCAGGAGAAGCACGUCAUGGAGGGUGUGGGUGCAGUGCACGGCACUGUGGCCGGUGCAACUGGUGUCAGAUGGGGACCUGCCAAAAAUGUCCAGACACAGACUCCAUAGGACCAUUUAGUGGACAUCCUAAAACUGGUCAGACCAGAAAAUGAGCAUGUAAAGUAAAAAUGUGUUUCUCAAAAAUGUCAUCUGGGUAUGUAGCAGGAUAAACUGCCGUUGGAAAGCAUUUGAAACCAGAACUUCCUGGCUCUGGUGUGGAAAAGAAAGAACCCCAUGGAGUGUCAAGCAUGGCCUCAUUCCCACGGUGGUGAAGUCCUGCGGUGAGGUUGUGACCCACCCCUUCCCCCUGGCCACAGCAUGUGGCGGGGACCAGAGGGAGCCCUGGCUUACUGGGUGUCAUUUCAGAGUGCUCGAGACGGAUAGUAGUGAUGUUUGCACAUUAUAAUACUGAAUUGUUCACUUACAAAUAGUUAAGAUGGUACAUUUUGUUAUAUAUUAGCACAAUAAAAAAAUGAAAAAAAGA